rnacentral:rRNA from 1 species
AUUGAACGCUGGCGGCAGGCCUAACACAUGCAAGUCGAGCGAGCGGCGGACGGGUGAGUAAUGUCUGGGAAACUGCCUGAUGGAGGGGGAUAACUACUGGAAACGGUAGCUAAUACCGCAUACCAUCAGAUGUGCCCAGAUGGGAUUAGCUAGUGGGUGGGGUAACGGCUCACCUAGGCGACGAUCCCGAGCUGGUCUGAGAGGAUGACCAGCCACACUGGGACUGAGACACGGUCCAGACGCCUACGGGAGGCAGCAGUGGGGAAUAUUGCACAAUGGGCGCAAGCCUGAUGCAGCCAUGCCGCGUGUGUGAAGAAGGCCUUCGGGUUGUAAAGCACUUUCAGCGGGGAGGCGUUACCCGCAGAAGCAGCACCGGCUAACUCCGUGCCAGCAGCCGCGGUCCUUC